rnacentral:rRNA from 1 species
GCCAGACUCCUACGGGAGGCAGCAGUGAGGAAUAUUGGUCAAUGGGCGAGAGCCUGAACCAGCCAAGUCGCGUGAGGGAAGACGGUCCUAUGGAUUGUAAACCUCUUUUGCCGGGGAGCAAAAAGCGGUACGUGUACCGCAUCGAGAGUACCUGAAGAAAAAGCAUCGGCUAACUCCGUGCCAGCAGCCGCGGUAAUACGGAGGAUGCGAGCGUUAUCCGGAUUUAUUGGGUUUAAAGGGUGCGUAGGCGGAACAUUAAGUCAGCGGUAAAAUCGAGGGGCUCAACCCCUUUAAGCCGUUGAAACUGGUGAUCUUGAGUGGGCGAGAAGUAUGCGGAAUGCGUGGUGUAGCGGUGAAAUGCAUAGAUAUCACGAAGAACUCCGAUUGCGAAGGCAGCUUACCAGUCUGCGACUGACGCUCAGGCACGAAAGUGUGGGUAUCGAACAGGAUUAGAUACCCGUGUAGG